CCCAGAAGGCGGUGCUACUUCUAGAGUCUGCAGGAGAGUUUCAGUGUGCGAGAGAGGAAGUAGAGAUCUGUUGAAACUAGAGAACGGACGAUUAGUUUUCUAAAGGGGGAAUUUCCCAAGGAUCCAAGGCUUGAAGUCUCUGAAACUUAAGCAGUUUCGGCUCUGUGGUGGGGGUGGAUCUUUACUCCAGCUACAGAAGCGAGGCAAGAACCCGAGCAAGUGAUCCAGCUCAGGACUACAUUUCCCAGAAGACAUCACAGACCGCGUUCUCAAACACCCCGCAGGGUUCUCAGUGCUCGGCAAAAUGAAUUCAACCUAAAUCCAAGGGCGGUGACAGGAGGAGGGCUCUAAACAAAUGUUUCAAAUUUGGAGUUCCUGAUUUGGACAUGGAGAAGCCGCCAGUUGUUACUGGAAUGUAGGCCUGUGGCUCCUGUAAAAGGAAGGGCAGUGGAAGGGCAUCCUGAGACAUGGGAGCUGAGGAACCUCAUAGCUCUGAGAGGAAGCCUCCUCAGCAGAAGAGUUGCAGCUCCCAGGGGAGGGUGUCCCCACCUGAGCUGAGGACCAGGAGCCUCAGCCCUGUAGGGAUAUUGGGGCCCCGCAUCUGCUCCACCACAGGGCUCAGCCACUCAGGGAGGCAGGACGCAGGAAGUUGACCAUGUUUAUUUACCGUGUUUAUUUAUACCAUCACCAGACAGGCCCGGGACAUGGCUCCAGGGGUGGGGAAGUGCAGUCUGAGGCACCGAUGGUUCUCAGGUUCUCGGACAUCCAGGUGCUGCUGGGAGACGCAGAAGACCUGAGAAUGGAGCGAGGCCCUGCAGGCUAGACCUAGCCUGGGACAGAUUGCAGAGUUGACUAUGCACUUAGAGAGUUUGCUGACAGAGGUUGAAGUAUUUGGAAAACAAAGAGGACCCCUCCAAAAAAAAAAUGGAAGGAGAAAAACGUCAAGGCUUGGUGAACGAGAACAGGGAUUUACUGCAUGAUGAAAGCUGGAAGCAAACUAGGCUGGACGGUAAAUGGCUGCUGGGCCCUACUCCACGCACUCUUCCUGCCAAGCACCCAGAGCACCUCUGUGAAACUAGGGGCCAGGCAGAGUAGGGGAUUGGGAAAAUACAACUGGAUGGUGUUCAGCCAAGUGCAUCACCAGAGGAUUUGCUUGGACCUACACAGCUUCCUCAGCCUUCCCAGUCUUUGUACAACAUAUGUGUGCUAAUGAUGGUGGUUCUGCCUAUAAUGAAUUGACCUGGUAUCCGAUAGAAAUGCUAGAUCUCAAUUAUUUUAAAGAGGUUGUUAUAUGAUAUAGCUUACAUUCUCCUUUUGUUAAAUAACUGCUAAAUGCUAAGCACACAGCAUAGGGUUAUCCCACAAGAUUGGAAGCGAUUGGCGUCAGCUUUUCUAGAAGCUGGACAUCAAUUACAAUCGUUGUCAUGGUAGAGGCAAUGAAGCCACCACGAAAACAGAACAACAAAUAAAUGGGAUAAAUGUUACUAAAGAGCAGCUACUUGGUGAAGGGAGUUGUGCUGACCUACAACAAGAACAAAUCCAAUCUAAUGAUGGUUCAACUGAACAAUAUCAUGCUGCAGCUUUAAGAGCUUGGGAUAUAAUUGAGGAUCCUGGGGCCAGAGGGUAAGGAAUCUACUACAUUUACUAAAAUAAUACAGGGGUCUGGUGAAGCCUUUACAGAAUUCUUACAGAGGUUGGGUUCAGCUGUGAAGAGAGACAUAUUAGACCCUGAAACCAGACAGUCAUUGAUAGAAAUAUUGGCAUUUAAAAAUGCAAAUACCAAAUGCAUGAGGGCAAUCAGACUAUUGAAAGCUUGAAGAGCCCCAAUUGAAGUGGAAACUUAAGGGACCUUUGGAAAGUCAGUUGCAUCAGAUGGUGUUUUGGUAGGGUAAACACUUGAAGGAGUGUUUUCCUGAAGUGGACACAGGUGAAAGGAUGUUUUGCUAAAGCGAACACAUGAAAGGACAUGUAAAGAUUCUUUGCUAAGGACACACAUGUAUUGGUCCACCUUACAUUGUGUAGUUGAGCUGCAUCUGUUGGGACUCCAUAGAGAGAAACUCAUCAAACAAACAGACAAAAAACUUUUUGUGUUAUACUGCAGCUUCUUGCUACUUCUGCAGAAUGGGGCCCGGAUUGACAAAGUGAUAUCAGCUGAGACAGACUCACUUGGAGUUUUACUAAAAGACUUACAUGCUGAGUCAAGACUUGUGGUGAGGCAAGACCCAUGAAGGACACAUGAUGUUUGGAGGGAGUAUAAAUAGGACUCAACAGACUGUGAGAAUGGCUUAUUUAUAGAGCUAGCUGUGCGAUGCUUCUUGGUCUUACAUCUUUGCUGAUCUUUGCCUUAUUGAUCACAGACCCUGGAAAGUCCAGAGACUGGACAGACAACACACAACCGGAUAAACACAGACUGGGCAAGCUUUUUUCAAACUAACCAUUUUUUUCCUUGGAGUUCCAAAACAGGAAUUCUUUAUCCCAAUUCAACAGGAAGCAAAUAUAUAUAAGACCAUUGUCCCAAUCCCUUAAGUUGGGUUAGGUAGUUUUGGUUGCUUGAUGUGUUAUAAUUGUUAUUAUCUAAGGUGGAAGGUUGCUAUUGGUUAUGAUCAGGGAUUGAUAAAAAUUUAAAGCCAUUUUGUUUAACUACUGUAUAUUAAUAGAAAUUUAAGGUUUUUGUUUAGUUAUUGUAUAUUUAUAGAAAAAUAAAGUUGUUUUGUUUGAAUUAUUGUAUAUUAAUAUAAAUUUAAAGUUUUGUGUAAUUAUUGUAUAUUGAUAGGAAUCUAAGGUUAUUUUGUUGGACUACUGUUGACUAUGUUGUACAUAAGCCAUCUUAAAAAAUGUGAUGGUUCUUAUAAUUAUUUCUAUUGUAUAUAGAUUGUUAUUGUUAGAGAAAAUAAAAAAAUCUUUUUUUUUUUUUUUUUUUUUUUUUUUUGGAGACAGGG
rnacentral:lncRNA from 1 species